rnacentral:rRNA from 1 species
GCAAGUCGAACGAAGUAGUAAUACUUAGUGGCAGACGGGUGAAUAACAUGUGGGUAUCUUCCCUUUGGUGAGGAAUAACACGAGGAAACUUGUGCUAAUACCUCAUAAGUCUUUACGGAGAAAGCUUUAUGCGCCAAUGGAUGAGCCCGCACUUGAUUAGUUUGUUGGUAGGGUAAUGGCCUACCAAGACUGUGAUCAAUAGCUGAUUUGAGAGGAUGAUCAGCCACAUUGGGACUGAGACACGGCCCAAACUCCUACGGGAGGCAGCAGUAGGGAAUCUUGCACAAUGGAGGAAACUCUGAUGCAGCGAUGCCGCGUGAGUGAAGAAGGCCUUUGGGUUGUAAAGCUCUUUCGUCGGGGAAGAAAAUGACUGUACCCGAAUAAGAAGGUCCGGCUAACUUCGUGCCAGCAGCCGCGGUAAUACGAAGGGACCUAGCGUAGUUCGGAAUUACUGGGCUUAAAGAGUUCGUAGGUGGUUAAAAAAGUUGGUUGUGAAAUCCCAGAGCUUAACUCUGGAACUGCAAUCAAAACUUUUUAGCUAGAGUAUGAUAGAGGAAAGCAGAAUUUCUAGUGUAGAGGUGUAACUCGUAGAUAUUAGAAAGAAUACCGAUUGCGAAGGCAGCUUUCUGGAUCAUUACUGACACUGAGGAACGAAAGCAUGGGUAGCGAAGAGGAUUAGAUACCCUCGUAGUCCAUGCCGUAAACGAUGUGUGUUAGACGUUGGAAA